UCCAUAUUGCUUUCUACUGUAGUUUUCUCCCUAAUUGCACGCAUCAUUGCUAUUUGCAUUUGAGAUACAAACAUAUAUCCGACCCCAAAUAAUAAUGGCCGGGGCUAAAGAUCGCAAGUCUCGGAAAAUAUUGCUGAUGCUUAUAUUGGCCCUACUGGCUGCGGCUACAACGUGUGAACGACAUAGCGUCUGGGACGUCAUAGACCCAAACAGCGAUCCAAAAAUCUGGGAACUACUCACGAAGGCGUUGUUCAGCAAACAGGUUAUGAUCGGCAACAAGAUGGCGAUGGUUUUUGAUAUGGAGCUCGGGCAGAUGCAACGUAUUGGGGGCCACACGCGCUAUAAAAUUAUGUUCACCACAGUCAUGUCAAGCUGCAGCCCGCCCUCUUAUCAAUAUAACUAUGGUUACGAUGACUUCGUAAGGAACUGCUACGCACUUUAUUACCAGAUUUUUCGUCAAAGGCAUUUGGAAGGCGUCAUACUCUAUCGUUUCAUGCUGAUGAGAAAAGCGAGAACGAGUUGAAAGCAGGAGCCAACGUUUUGACAAGUGGACUUGUCUUCUCAAAGGCCAAUAGAAGAUGUUGGGGCAUAGUAACGGACGAUCCAGCACUGAGAGAUUCUGAUCGGUACGAGGAACUCUACUGUACGUCUGUCUUAACUGGGCUACGUAUACCCAAAAAUCAAUAAAAUAUUUUCCAAGUCCCGCA